CUGGGUUGAUUAGUGGCGAACGGGUGAGUAACACGUGAGUAACCUGCCCCUGACUUCGGGAUAAGCGCUGGAAACGGCGUNUAAUACCGGAUACGAGCUUUCACCGCAUGGUGGUUGUUGGAAAGUUUUUCGGUCAGGGAUGGGCUCGCGGCCUAUCAGCUUGUUGGUGGGGUGAUGGCCUACCAAGGCGACGACGGGUAGCCGGCCUGAGAGGGCGACCGGCCACACUGGGACUGAGACACGGCCCAGACUCNUACGGGAGGCAGCAGUGGGGAAUAUUGCACAAUGGGCGAAAGCCUGAUGCAGCGACGCCGCGUGAGGGAUGACGGCCUUCGGGUUGUAAACCUCUUUCAGCAGGGAAGAAGCGCAAGUGACGGUACCUGCAGAAGAAGCGCCGGCUAACUACGUGCCAGCAGCCGCGGUAAUACGUAGGGCGCAAGCGUUGUCCGGAAUUAUUGGGCGUAAAGAGCUCGUAGGCGGUUUGUCGCGUCUGGUGUGAAAACUCGAGGCUCAACCUCGAGCUUGCAUCGGGUACGGGCAGACUAGAGUGCGGUAGGGGAGACUGGAAUUCCUGGUGUAGCGGUGGAAUGCGCAGAUAUCAGGAGGAACACCGAUGGCGAAGGCAGGUCUCUGGGCCGCAACUGACGCUGAGGAGCGAAAGCAUGGGGAGCGAACAGGAUUAGAUACCCUGGUAGUCCAUGCCGUAAACGUUGGGCACUAGGUGUGGGGCUCAUUC
rnacentral:rRNA from 1 species